ACUUUGUGGUGUGGACACCGAAUAAACAAGUCUUGGAACCUCUCACAUGCAUCACAAAAAACUUAACCCUCUUUUUGUUAGAAACUUCUAAUGGCGUCAAUCAUGUC